UGGGGAAUAUUGGACAAUGGGCGCAAGCCUGAUCCAGCCAUGCCGCGUGAGUGAUGAAGGCCCUAGGGUUGUAAAGCUCUUUCACCGGUGAAGAUAAUGACGGUAACCGGAGAAGAAGCCCCGGCUAACUUCGUGCCAGCAGCCGCGGUAAUACGAAGGGGGCUAGCGUUGUUCGGAUUUACUGGGCGUAAAGCGCACGUAGGCGGACUUUUAAGUCAGGGGUGAAAUCCCGGGGCUCAACCCCGGAACUGCCUUUGAUACUGGAAGUCUUGAGUAUGGUAGAGGUGAGGGGAAUUCCGAGUGUAGAGGUGAAAUUCGUAGAUAUUCGGGGGAACACCAGUGGCGAAGGCGGCUCACUGGACCAUUACUGACGCUGAGGUGCGAAAGCGUGGGGAGCAAACAGG
rnacentral:rRNA from 1 species